CAAGUGGCCAAAUAGCGGGAGCUUGUGCAAGACAGAGAUUACGCAGCAGACAGGAAGCCGGAGAGAGCCUGGGGGCCAGGGGAGGGGCUUCCACUAGGCUCCGCCCCUUCAAGGUCCCACUGCCUCUCAAUGCUACUGCACUGGGACCAAGCUCUGAACAUCGGAAUCUCAGGAGGGAGGAAACACACCCAAGCCACAGCACAGCCCUGGCUACACACACUUCCCUCAUCUCCACUUCCCAGCUGCAUACCUGGCCAAUGAGAAUGGUCAUUUCCAGACGUAGCUCAGCUCAUGGGAUCAACAUGGCAGUCCCUAACCACAAGGCCAAUAUGAAAGUUCCUUUAAUCAUUUGCUCCAAGCUGCAACCCCACUCAUCCUUGGCCUCGUACCUUCUGGAAGCAAUGCCUUUAAUUAAAACCCCCUGACUGCUGUUGCUUUCUGCCA